rnacentral:rRNA from 1 species
AGUGAACGCUGGCGGUAGGCCUAACACAUGCAAGUCGAACGGCAGCACAGUAAGAGCUUGCUCUUACGGGUGGCGAGUGGCGGACGGGUGAGGAAUACAUCGGAAUCUACUUUUUCGUGGGGGAUAACGUAGGGAAACUUACGCUAAUACCGCAUACGACCUACGGGUGAAAGCAGGGGAUCUUCGGACCUUGCGCGAUUGAAGGAGCCGAUGUCGGAUUAGCUAGUUGGCGGGGUAAAGGCCCACCAAGGCGACGAUCCGUAGCUGGUGUGAGAGGAUGAUAAGCCACACUGGAACUGGGCCACGGUCCAGACUACUACGGGAGGCAGCAGUGGGGAAUAUUGGACAAUGGGCGCAAGCCUGAUCCAGCCAUACCGCGUGGGUGACGAAGGCCUUCGGGUUGUAAAGACCUUUUGUUGGGAAAGAAAAGCAGCAGGUUAAUACCCCGCUGUUCUGACGGUACCCAAAGAAUAAGCACCGGCUAACUUCGUG